rnacentral:lncRNA from 1 species
UUCAAAGACUCUAAGAUUCUAAAGAGUACAGUUAAAAUUUGGUUUUAAAAUUAAAUUAGCCUUGCAGUUUUUAUUGAAGAGGAAAUUCAGAACCAAGAACCAAACAUUUAAUCUUAAAUUGCAACACUUUUAAAAAAAAAAAUCUUUUAUCUUCUCAAAUUUAUUAUCAUGAAAGUUCUAAAAUAAGGGACUUUUCUUUAUAUAAUGUCUGUUUAACUUUGGUCAGCAUUUCUUUUGGAAAUUAACUUGUUUGGAGUGGGGGGAUAGUCCCCAAACAAAGCCAAAAGUCAGUCAUCUUUUGCAUCUUUAUGAAGAAAUUGCUGUUAAGGGUUUACAAAUGUGUAUGUUGUCAGUAAAUCGACUUAACCCAUCUACAUGGUUCAGGGGUUAAUCUGAUACCAGAUUGGUAAGGUACAAGUUAAAAUCAAUAAGUUAUUGAAUGGGAAGAUCAAGCCUUGAAGUCAGCGUUUGGACACCAUUUAGCUAAGUUUUUUUAACAUAAUUUGAUGCUUACUCUGAAAUUCUUUGCUCAUAUCUCAUUGAUUAAAAAAAAAAAUUUUUUUUUAUACCCAUGAUUGAACCUAGGGUGCUUAUCCAAUGAACCACAUCCCAGCCCUUUUUAUUUUUUGGAACAAGGUUUUGGUAAGUUGCAUAAGGCCUUGCUUAGUUGCUGAGGCUUGCUUUGCACUUAUGAUUCUCCUGCCUCAUGCUCCCAAGUCGCUGGGAUUACAGGUGUGCACCAUCAUACCUGCCUUAUAUCUCAUUGAAUCUUGAUACAAGUUUUUUGUUGUUGUUGUUUUUGCUUUUGUUUUGAAUAGGCAAAGCCUAAAUACCCUCCAGCUAGUGUUGGCCAUGCCAUCUCUUAGAAUUACAGGACUACCAAAUGUUAGAACCAGAUUUUUUUUUUCCCCCAAUGGUGCUGGUGAUUGAACCCAGGGUCUCAGGCCUAGAGUACAUGCUAGGUAGGCAAGCACUCCUAACCACUGAGCUACUGCUCUGUUCCAGAACUAAGCCUUUUAACAAACCCUGGUUGACUGGAAUAUCGUGGAGAGGUGGGAAAGCCACAUUAAGCAUGAAGUUUUCCUUGUGAAGAAAGAAUGGGAAAACACUCUGUGUUGAGUAGUAGAUCCAACGCCAUUCUUAGUCUCUUGAGUCUCACCUACAACUAGCCUUAAACUAGUGAAGUCUAUAAAUUUCAUCUUUCAGUUUUUCCUGUUUUAAGAAAAACUUGCUCUUUACAAAAUGUUUGACAUUUUUUAAAGAUUUAGAAUGAUCUUACCACGGCUUGUAUUAUAUAUCUUUGGUAAGUAAAAUGUACAAGGAUAUCUCUUUGCAUAUAAAAAGUAAAAUGUACGAGGAUAUCUCAUUGCAUAUAAAGUUCACCCCUUGUAACCUUGUAGUGAUACAAAAACUUGUGAGCCUCUGUGUGCCAAGCCUUGUGUUGAAUACUUACACGAGUCUAGUUUGUCCCUGAUAGGUAAAGACUUAUUUUAGAGCUGAGGAAAGUAGAAUUUAGAAAAGUUGCCCAAGAUUAGACUGCUGUUUUCAGAGUUGGAAUCCUAGCUAAGGUCUGCUUUUUCUCCAGAGUCCAUGUGCUUAGCAGUUGCGCUUUGAGAAUUGAAAAUGAAAGAGUGAGGAGCAAAAAGCCUGAAUAUUUUAUACAGCUUUCAUACCCCUCUUCUUCCACCAACCUUUCUGAAAUCCUUCACUGAUCAGCCCAAUUCCAAGUGAAUAAAAAACAACCAAAAAACCUUUGGUUUUUUUUUGGGGGGGCGGGGUGUAGAAUUGCAAGGUAUUUAUAAAUCAUAAAUCUUAAUUCUCUAGUCCUCUAAGUUUUCUAUUGCUGCUGUGACAAAUUACCAUAAAGCCACACAAAUUUAUUAUCUUUAGAUGAGUCUGAUCUGAGUCAAGUCAGGAAGUCAGCAGGGUGCAUUUCUUUUCUUUUGUGGACCAUUGUUCUAUCUAGACUUGCUAAUUAUAGCUUAGUUGUUGAUGAACUAAUGUUAGAUUUUUGGAGUUAUGGAAUAUCUAAGGCCAUAAUAAAUAGUAGCAACAAUAGAGAAGAAAAUGGAGUGGUGUUAAGCUGCUUGAGUAUUGCAAAUGUUUUUAUACUCUUGUAACAUGUGAAUAACUAUCCUGUGUUAUAAGACUGCUUUUAAUAGGUAAGUAUACAUUUGUCUCCUAAGUUUUUAAUAGUAGCUGUGUAAAGUAUAUCAGGUAAGUUGAAUUCAUUAUGAGAGCUUGAUAAUGAACUCAGUAAAAACAAUUUUACUUAAUUUUAACAUUUGAAUGUGCCACUUGUACUAUUCCCAUCUCAGAUUCCUCUAAAACAUUGGUCAGUUUACCAGUUACUAGGGAUUUACAAAGUACAAUAAACAAUAUUUAAAAAUAAAAAAUAAUAAGCCAUAUUUAGUUUGUGUCUCCCAAAACAAAUCACAAGUAAAAUUGGUGCUGCUUUUUAAAAUUUUUUAUUAUUGCAUUAUAGUUAUACAUAAUAUUGGGGUUCAGUUUUGGUUCUGUUUUUUUAAAAGUUCCAAGCACUCUGAUUUCUUUAAUUGCUAUUUCAUAAAGUAUUUUAGUAAUUCAUGUAUAGAGCAAGAAGGUAUUAGAGUGAGUUGAGAACAAGUAUAACAAGUCAACAGCUAGAAAAAAGUUGUCUUAAACACUCAAAUCCACUCCUAAGUUGAAUCUUAAUAGUUACCAGCCAUUGAGAGAAAUGCUAGCAUAUGUACUUAAAAGGCAAUAAAUUCAAUAUAACUCCAAAUAUCUCUAAAAUACCUCUACCUCUAUGAAAUAAUUCACUGUGUAUACAUAUAUAUGUGUAUCAUUCCAAGUUGUCUUUUAAGAAUAUUUUUAAUUUUAAAAGAAAAUUUUUUCCAAGUAGGGGUAUUUUUCUUUUCCAGGAAUUUGUUGUUUGACUUUGCUUUAUAAGUUUAUAUUCAGCAUUUUGUUUCAGAAACAUCAGAACAUUUAAAGUGAAAUUAUCUUAAAGAUCUUUUUGUAUCAGUCACUUUUAUUUUCUGCUGAAAAAGCACCUAUCAGAGGAAAUCAUCAAUACCAUCACCAGUAAAAUAGCAAAAACAGGAAUGUUGAUUAUUGACCAUAUGAAGAGUUUAAGAUGGAAAAAAAAGGUUUCACCAAGUCAUUCUGACUUACCAGAGAAUCUCUAGGAAAUAUUUUCCAAUUCUUAAAUAUUUACUAUGUAUCUAUUUGGUAUGCUUAGUUAUUGGAAUUCAAUGAGCAACAUGGAAAGGGUCCAACUUUAUUGAGCUUGCUGUAUAGUAUAGAAGAUAAGUGAUAACAUCUGAAUGCAAAAUUGAAGCUGCAAGAAGAAAUUCCAAAUUUUUGAUUUGAAAAACUUAUAGUUUAUUGAGAAUACUGAAGCUUUUGUUUAUAUGGGUUAUAUUGUUAUUUAAUUUAUUAUAAAUUAAACUGAUA